AGCCAGGAGUCCAGCCGUACCCAGGUAGGAGACAUCGUGACACAACUAACAUCAAGCUAUAGAGACAUUAUAGUCCAUUACACCUCUCUGGCAUUCCUAAUCUGGGACAUUCUUAAUCUGGCUUCA